GACGAACGCUGGCGGCGUGCUUAACACAUGCAAGUCGAACGGCAAGGCCCUGCUUUUGUGGGGUGCUCGAGUGGCGAACGGGUGAGUAACACGUGAGUAACCUGCCCUUGACUUUGGGAUAACUUCAGGAAACUGGGGCUAAUACCGGAUAGGAGCUCCUGCUGCAUGGUGGGGGUUGGAAAGUUUCGGCGGUUGGGGAUGGACUCGCGGCUUAUCAGCUUGUUGGUGGGGUAGUGGCUUACCAAGGCUUUGACGGGUAGGCGGCCUGUGAGGGUGACCGGCCACAUUGGGACUGAGAUACGGCACAGACUCCUACAGGAGACAGCAGUGGGGAAUAUUGCACAAUGGGCGGAAGCCUGAUGCAGCAACGCCGCGUGCGGGAUGACGGCCUUCGGGUUGUAAACCGCUUUCGCCUGUGACGAAGCGUGAGUGACGGUAAUGGGUAAAGAAGCACCGGCUAACUACGUG
rnacentral:rRNA from 1 species